GACAGAGGGGGCAAGCGUUAAUCGGAAUUACUGGGCGUAAAGCGUGCGCAGGCGGUUAUGCAAGACAGAUGUGAAAUCCCCGGGCUCAACCUGGGAACUGCAUUUGUGACUGCAUGGCUAGAGUGCGGCAGAGGGGGAUGGAAUUCCGCGUGUAGCAGUGAAAUGCGUAGAUAUGCGGAGGAACACCGAUGGCGAAGGCAAUCCCCUGGGCCCGCACUGACGCUCAUGCACGAAAGCGUGGGGAGCAAACAGG
rnacentral:rRNA from 1 species